AAAACUUUGCUUUGGUAGGCCUUCUAUAUGGGGCCUGCCAGAGAUUAAACUCAACCAAAUUUUAUUUAAUGUCAACCGAUUAUUUAAUAGUCAAAACUUUCAACAACGGAUCUCUUGGUUCUCGCAUCGAUGAAGAACGCAGCGAAAUGCGAUAAGUAAUAUGAAUUGCAGAUAUUCGUGAAUCAUCGAAUCUUUGAACGCACAUUGCGCCCUUUGGUAUUCCAAAGGGCAUGCCUGUUUGAGCGUCAUUUCUCCCUCAAACCCUCGGGUUUGGUGUUGAGCGAUACGCUGGGUUUGCUUGAAAGAAAGGCGGAGUAUAAACUAAUGGAUAGGUUUUUUCCACUCAUUGGUACAAACUCCAAAACUUCUUCCAAAUUCGACCUCAAAUCAGGUAGGACUACCCGCUGAACUUAAGCAUA
rnacentral:rRNA from 1 species